AUUGAACGCUGGCGGCAGGCCUAACACAUGCACGUCGAACGAGUGGCGGACGGGUGAGUAAUGACUGGGAAUAUGCCUGAUGGGGGGGGAUAACUACUGGAAACGGUAGCUAAUACCGCAUACUAUCAGAUGUGCCCAGAGGGGAUUAGCUAGUUGGUGGGGUAACGGCUCACAAAGGCGACGAUCCCUAGCUGGUCUGAGAGGAUGACCAGCCACACUGGAACUGAGACACGGUCCAGACUCCUACGGGAGGCAGCAGUGGGGAAGAUUGCACAAUGGGCGCAAGCCUGAUGCAGCCAUGCCGCGUGUAUGAAGAAGGCCUUCGGGUUGUAAAGUACUUUCAGCGGGGAGGCGUUACCCGCAGAAGAAGCACCGGCUAACUCCGUGCCAGCAGCCGCGGUAAUUC
rnacentral:rRNA from 1 species